CUACGGGCGGCAGCAGUGGGGAAUAUUGCACAAUGGACGAAAGUCUGAUGCAGCAACGCCGCGUGGAGGAUGACACUUUUCGGAGCGUAAACUCCUUUUAUAUAAGAAGAUAAUGACGGUACUAUAUAAAUAAGCACCGGCUAACUCCGUGCCAGCAGCCGCGGUAAUACGGAGGGUGCAAGCGUUACUCGGAAUCACUGGGCGUAAAGAGCGUGUAGGCGGAUAGAUAAGUCAGGAGUGAAAUCCUAUGGCUCAACCAUAGAACUGCUCUUGAAACUGUCUAUCUAGAAUAUGGGAGAGGUAGAUGGAAUUUCUGGUGUAGGGGUAAAAUCCGUAGAGAUCAGAAGGAAUACCGAUUGCGAAGGCGAUCUACUGGAACAUUAUUGACGCUGAGACGCGAAAGCGUGGGGAGCAAACAGGAUUAGAUACCCCCGUAGUC
rnacentral:rRNA from 1 species